rnacentral:rRNA from 1 species
UACGAAGGGGGCUAGCGUUGCUCGGAAUCACUGGGCGUAAAGCGCACGUAGGCGGAUCUUUAAGUCAGGGGUGAAAUCCCAAGGCUCAACCUUGGAACUGCCUUUGAUACUGGGGAUCUCGAGUCCGGAAGAGGUUGGUGGAACUGCGAGUGUAGAGGUGAAAUUCGUAGAUAUUCGCAAGAACACCAGUGGCGAAGGCGGCCAACUGGUCCGGUACUGACGCUGAGGUGCGAAAGCGUGGGGAGCAAGCAGG